rnacentral:rRNA from 1 species
GAUUGAACGCUGGCGGCAGGCUUAACACAUGCAAGUCGAGCGGAGAUGAGGUGCUUGCACCUUAUCUUAGCGGCGGACGGGUGAGUAAUGCUUAGGAAUCUGCCUAUUAGUGGGGGACAACAUUCCGAAAGGAAUGCUAAUACCGCAUACGCCCUACGGGGGAAAGCAGGGGAUCUUCGGACCUUGCGCUAAUAGAUGAGCCUAAGUCGGAUUAGCUAGUUGGUGGGGUAAAGGCCUACCAAGGCGACGAUCUGUAGCGGGUCUGAGAGGAUGGUCCGCCACACUGGGACUGAGACACGGCCCAGACUCCUACGGGAGGCAGCAGUGGGGAAUAUUGGACAAUGGGCGGAAGCCUGAUCCAGCCAUGCCGCGUGUGUGAAGAAGGCCUUUUGGUUGUAAAGCACUUUAAGCGAGGAGGAGGCUACCUGGAUUAAUACUCUAGGAUAGUGGACGUUACUCGCAGAAUAAGCACCGGCUAACUCUGUGCCAGCAGCCGCGGUAAUACAGAGGGUGCGAGCGUUAAUCGGAUUUACUGGGCGUAAAGCGUGCGUAGGCGGCUGAUUAAGUCGGAUGUGAAAUCCCUGAGCUUAACUUAGGAAUUGCAUUCGAUACUGGUCAGCUAGAGUAUGGGAGAGGAUGGUAGAAUUCCAGGUGUAGCGGUGAAAUGCGUAGAGAUCUGGAGGAAUACCGAUGGCGAAGGCAGCCAUCUGGCCUAAUACUGACGCUGAGGUACGAAAGCAUGGGGAGCAAACAGGAUUAGAUACCCUGGUAGUCCAUGCCGUAAACGAUGUCUACUAGCCGUUGGGGCCUUUGAGGCUUUAGUGGCGCAGCUAACG